rnacentral:lncRNA from 15 species
AAACCAUGGGGUUUGAAAUACCUGAACAUUUACCAGACUUGGAUGGUCCAAUGAAAAAUACAGUUUAGUUGGAGUCUGGGAAAUGUAGGAUAGAGUGUUUUUGGAGUUUGACCCAUACUAAGGAUUAAAAGUCAGGACGUUUUUGCCUCUUUUUUUAGAAUUUGUCUAUCACAAGUUUUCCAACUUUAUGGAGCUGAAAUAUUAAUUCACUGGAGUACUCUUUUAUGGUUCUCACAGUAUGAAUGUAUUACAUCUGUAGAACUCAGCAGCAUCUCUUUCUAGAAUGAAUAUCAGGUUAUUGAUAAUAAUCCACAGAUCUGAAGUUUUAACUGGACAGGCAAUACAAAUGCUUCACUGCAAGGUUGUUUGAAUAUUUGGAGAGUAUUUACAGAAGAGAUAUUGCAGGGUUUUUCAUAUGAAUCAUAUUAAUAAUGACACGGUGCCCUACAUUAAAUGCAGUGUCAGAGGCUUUCACUCUUGAAAAUGCUCUCACACUCAAGGUGUUUUCUGUAUAGGAACAGCAGUCUAUUGUCUCAGACAUUGAGGAGACAGUGGAGGAAAGAAUAACUAUAGAAGAGCAGCCACCAAGCAAAGAGGACAACGAGGAACUUGCUGCUUUUCCUCAGUCAUCAUCUCAAGAGAUUAACCCUGAGUCCUCCCCAGAAACAGUGAAAGCUGUGCCUUCAACUGCAACAUUCCCAUUUAACCUUAGCCCUGGCAGCUCCCCACAUCAAGGGACCUCUGAUACCAAAUCUCCAGCUUUCCUGUUCUCCCUGAACGCCGAUCCUAGCACCCCAGGCUUCCCUGGAUUUGGAUUUGACGUGGGCUCGUCACAGGACGAGGACUCAUCUUUUGCUUUCAGUGGCUCUUUUUUUAGCGAGAAGAAAAACACGGAAUCAAAGUCUUCAACCUCCGAGUUCCUGUUUGGCCAACCAGAGCAAAGUGAAGACUUUGAGUUUGCCUUCAAUGCCAAGAGCCCUCCGAAAACUGACAAAGAUAACACCAGGGAUGAUUUUCCAUUUUCAUUCAACUUUUGA